rnacentral:rRNA from 1 species
GACGAACGCUGGCGGCGUGCUUAACACAUGCAAGUCGAACGGAAAGGCCCUGCUUUUGUGGGGUGCUCGAGUGGCGAACGGGUGAGUAACACGUGAGUAACCUGCCCUUGACUUUGGGAUAACUUCAGGAAACUGGGGCUAAUACCGGAUAGGAGCUCCUGCUGCAUGGUGGGGGUUGGAAAGUUUCGGCGGUUGGGGAUGGACUCGCGGCUUAUCAGCUUGUUGGUGGGGUAGUGGCUUACCAAGGCUUUGACGGGUAGCCGGCCUGAGAGGGUGACCGGCCACAUUGGGACUGAGAUACGGCCCAUACUCCUACGGGAGGCAGCAGUGGAGAAUAUUGCACAAUGGGCGGAAGCCGGAUGCAGCAACGCCGCGUGCGGGAUGACGGCCUUCGGGUUGUAAACCGCUUGCGCCCGUGACGAAGCGUGAGUGACGGUAAUGGGUAAAGAAGCACCGGCUAACUACGUG